ensembl:lncRNA
AACAAAACUAAAAGUGCAUCAAUGCUGAGGUGCUUUUCAUCUACGGAAGUUCAACAGUCAACUGGAGUGUGACUGUGGAUUCACAAGGACGCCACUCGAGGCGGCGGCGGCGGCGGCGGCAGACCUUGGGUAGCUAUUGAACACCCGCGUUGGUGCUCCGCCCCCGGGUAGCGCCCUCAAAGACGUGCGCUUCACAAUCAAAGCCGGUUGAAAGGAUCUACUUUGCCAACUGAUACUUCCACAUGACGGCCUAAUGGCCUCCGGGGGCAGAAGCUACAAUCUGAGCCUGGAACAGAACAGCGAGUCGAUCUUCAGCGAGAAACGACGGAUACUUCAGCGUCAAAAAUAGAACAGUCUCAGAUUCCUUUUAAGAACGCCGGUGAUCGAUCCGAUCAGCAUCACGUUAAAGAGGUGGAGCUGGGGGGGCGGCUGGGUGGGGGUCUGGUGUAGACACUAAAGUGGCCCUAGAUGUGGGCCCCUCUACGUUGGCUUAAUGUGGCCCCCAUUACCCGGGGAAGAAAAGCCUUCGGUCCCCGUGUGGUCCCGUCUGUGUGCCUUUGGUCUGCUCAGGUGGGACGGGAACACCUCUACGGUGGGGGUCGGGGGGGUUGGGGGGGGGCGGCGUGUUGACAUGGGGAUUAUCUGUGAACUGGAGCCAACUUUUAAGCCUCUUUCCUUUUUGCCCGUCUACGUUGUGUCCCACAGAGAUAAUCACUUAAUUAAAUAUUGAUGAUAUUUCAAAGCGGAAGCUGGCAAUCGGACUUGUGGAAGGGCCGAACGCUCCGGGCGCCGGGUACUGAGUCAUAGCCGCUGCUUCAGGAGGAGAUAGAGGGGGGAGCUGGGUGGACACAGAGGGACAGCUAGAAGGGGAAAAAAACAGAUUAAAAAAAGGAGCCGAAAGGGGAGGAGAAGCCGGUGAAAAGCCGCUAGUAGAAGAAACAACGACAUAUAUUUGAAAGCUUACUGGCUGCUCUUGAAAGCAAAUGAUGAAUUUACAGCGGCGCAGCUAUGAGUUGUGCUUUGUAUCAUAUCCUAUCAUGCAUUUUUCAUAAAACCACUGUGGGACGAUUGGCUCCUCCCAGCACACCGUGGACACAUGGGAGCCUUUAGGUCCAUUAAGAGCGAGUGUGUGUGUGUGUGUGUGUUGGAAACGGAUGUUUGCUUCUAGGAAGGAUAUCCAAGGAGAAAGGGAGAUGCAUGGUGCAGAAUAAGUAAAAUACUCAACACACACACACACAGAAUAAGUCGGUUUCCAUCUGGUGAGGUUUACUUUCGAGUGAGAGCCUCACACGGGGGGGCGAUGAACUGAUGGAAAAGUGAAUAUUCCUUUGGUAGAAAUCUUCAGAUUACACGGCCCGUUAGAUCCCAGCGUCCCCGUAGGACUCACUAGCGCAGUGAGUCCGUUUGUGUGUCUCCUCGGCUUUGUGGAAGCACACGUGUGGCGUCACAGGCGUGUUGGUCAGGCGUGUGACAUUCGGAUCACCAGGUAGUAAAACUACAUCUGAUCUUCACAGCGGGACACAUUGACAGGCCUGUUGUCGGUGUUUAAAAAGGCCGAUUAAAGCAGCAGUUCAGCCCCAAAAGGACCUUGUGGAUAGAAACGACACCCGGAAGCUCUGAAAGAAAACUUUCCGGUGAAUAAAAGUCACUCGCAUGAAGUCUCGACUUAAUGACUUAGAAAGGGGAAAGUGUACAGAAAUGUAAAAAAAAACAAAAAAACGUUUGUUUGCAAACUCUCACACAACUUUGUGCAGCAUAAAAGAGUCUCGUUCGCUUCUCUCCAAACGCCUGCAGCUCCAACUACACAGAACAUUUGGGUUUCUGCAGCUCCACUUGUCUUUUUCAUAGUGUUCCACAUUAAAUAUGCUCAAAGUUGAGUUACACUUUUUGUGCUGAUAUUUUACUGCAGAGGUUUGUAAUAAAACACAGUUUACAUAUUCAAUGUAAGCACAGAAUGUUUCCUACCUUUAUAACACUAAAUCAAAUGCAAACAAACAUUAGUUCAUUAACAUGCAUCCGAUAGCACGAGUACAAUAAUCUAAAAAACUCUAAACAAGAUGAUCAAUAAUUUAUAUGUUGCCAUCUAACUUGUUUGAUCGGGUUCUCCGUGUCAUGUGAUCCGCUGCAUCACUUUACUUUAGGAACAAAUAUCCCGAGACGACCACAGAAAAGCUUUUAGAAACCACUGCGAUCCGUCGGGCAGCACGGCUUCCUCCGAUCAGCCAGAAGGUCUCAGCUCCUCACUGCUCCCCCCUACGGCCCCCCAGCCGGGCCCCCAGCCGGGACCCCAGCCGGGACCCCAGCGCUCCUGGGAUCAAACCAGCAGCCUGGUGAUGGAGACGUUGCAGGGACGGCGACACGCUGCCGACAGCGUGGGGGCUCAGACCUCGGGGGGCCGAGGAGGGCGGGACGUUAUAAGCGGACGGAAGGUGCUCCUUUAGGCGCAAAACAAGCAUCUGUGGAGUCACAUGACACGUUUAGCUGUUUAAGCACAUUUAACAAUGUUAAAUUUAACAUUUAAGCAACGCACAAACAGGAUGUGCUUGUGGACGCAGAUGACGAGGCUUGAUUUAGAUGUAAGACACACAGACAGACACACACACACACACACACACACACACAGUGUCCUAACCCCCUCCCCGCCCCAAGAGAGUGCCAGGAGCGAACCACUGGAUAAAAGCAAGCUUUUAUGAAGAUAAGGCAAGUUGCUGAGCGCGAUAAAAGGCUACGGAAGAUAACAGCGGUGUAAUGUGUGUGUGUGUGUGUGUGUGUGUGUGUGUGUGUGUGAACGUUUGCUAAUGGACGUGAUGACUCAUCAGUGAUGGGGGACGUUACAUGGAACAGGAGUUUAGUUCCAACAGACAGAAGGUUCAAAUUGCCAAACACGAACCCUCCACAAUGCAAAGGAGGGAUUUAAAUGAUUUCACAUUCAUGAAGUACAUUAGAACUUUAUAAAAGCCUCAUGAACAAAGUCAAAUGGCAAAACCAAAUUAUUAACUCAAACAUGUUAAGCAUUUAGAAAAUGAUUUGUGAUUCCUUUUAAAAUCCAUCCACGUGUAAUUGAAGCUUUUAUCGGUGAAUUCCACACAGCCGCGGCGUGGAAUGACCUCUACGUACACGGGGGCGUGGAAUGACCUCUACGUACACGGGGGCGUGGAAUGACCUCUACGUACACGGGGGCGUGGAAUGACCUCUACGUACACGGGGGCGUGGAAUACUUUGUUCUAACCCAGCAAAAGGUUGUGCGAAGGCCAUUAGUGCUCAUUACUCCAGUGUGAGCAGGUCUUCUCCUUCUGCAGCGUCACACCGUUCUUCAUGCAACCUAUCAGACCUCUCUGAGUCCUCGGGCUCCGCAAACAGCUCCAUUGAUAUCAUACCGGCUCUGCGGCACUUUCACGCUGCAGAGAAGCCAUGAAAAUAAUCUUGAAAAAGCUGUUGACAGUCUGGAUGAUGGUGAUAGUUAUCAUGCAAGUGGUCCAUGAAAGAAGCAAUCCGGCUGACUGCAUUCAUCUGGCAGCAAAACCAAUGAAGACAAAAACAAUAGCGGUGGGGGGGGACGGGGACACGACCAUCGACGCCUCGGAAAGAGAGAGUGUGGGGCAAUAACAUUGGUACAGCAGUAUUGGACUUCACUUCAUCCCCAUCAUGUGUUAAUGUCACUGUGAUGGUGUUGUGUGCUGCAAUUACCACCCACUCAUACAUCGCCCGGGCAGACGGGGACCCGAGCAGAUGCUGUCGCUAUGAAGACGGAUCACGGAGGCCUCAGCAUGUCCUCGUGGGCCGCAAUGCCGGUGUGCACGGAGACACACACACACACACAUAGAGUGCACGUCUUCUUGUGUUGUUUUCUUUGUGAUUGUGUGUCCAUGUGCACAUGCCAGAGUGCCAGUGCAGCUGUGUGUACUUAUUCAUUGUAACUCACUGUUUAUGCAGUGUGUGUGUGUGUGUGUGUGUGUGUGUGUCUGUGUGCAUCCUAUUGAUCAGACGUACCCGGGGUUCUGGAGGAAGGGCCCCACAUCAGCCCGCCUGUCGCCCAGGAAGGAAGGCUUCAGCCUGGGGAGACCAUGAUGCUGUGGCCCUGGGGGGGGGGCUGCAGGUCCAGAGGGGGGAUUCUAGCUGACAGUGAUACCAAUUAAAUUACUCCCAAAAAAAACCUGGAUAAGGGGAAUAAAAGUCUGGCAGAAAAGCCUGCAGGGGUUGGAACUGAAUUGAGGAUUCAUUUGAACGCCAGUGUUCGGCAGUGAUGAAGAUCAACGUGUUACGCGCUUCCCCUCCACCAACUGACCUCCACACCGCUGAGGAUGAAAACAUGUAUGACACCAUGUAUGACACCGUGCUCCACACAGAAGAGGAGGUUAAACGACGGUAGCGGGUUACUGGUGUCACGUCUUAGAUUGGUGGAGGAGAGAAGGUGCUGGAUCUUUUCUUCAGAACCAGAGACUGAGAUUGGAUUUGCUCUCACAGGUCUCAUUAAGCGCUCCUCUUUUUCUUUGAGGACGUUUGAUUUUUCCUGCACGUGCAACAUCUGUCAAGGGGAGAAUCCCAAACCUUCUUUGGAAACUGGACCGGGUCAUAAAAGCUACGAUGUUUUUGACAACGUGACUAAAUUAAUAUGAAAAGGGGGCAUUUUUUUCCCCCCCUCCUCGUGAUAUCGGGGGCAAAAUGAUAUUUCCGACGCUGGCCGUUGGUCCAUUUCCUCGUUGCAAAGGGGCUGAUGAUGCAUGAAGCUCCACUCC